AGCAGUAGCCGCGGUAAUACGAAGGGUGCAAGCGUUAAUCGGAAUUACUGGGCGUAAAGCGUGCGUAGGCGGUGAGUUAAGUCUGCUGUGAAAUCCCCGGGCUCAACCUGGGAAUGGCAGUGGAUACUGGCUCGCUAGAGUGUGUCAGAGGAUGGUGGAAUUCCCGGUGUAGCGGUGAAAUGCGUAGAGAUUGGGAGGAACAUCAGUGGCGAAGGCGGCCAUCUGGGACAACACUGACGCUGAGGCACGAAAGCGUGGGGAGCAAACAGGAUUAGAUACCCCGGUAGUCCCUGUCUCUUAUAC
rnacentral:rRNA from 1 species